AUUGAACGCUGGCGGUAUGCUUAACACAUGCAAGUCGAACGAUGAGAAAGAGCUUGCUCUUUCGAUUAGUGGCGGACGGGUGCGUAACGCGUAGGAAUCUACCUAUUAGUGGGGGACAACUUAGGGAAACUUAAGCUAGUACCGCAUACGCCCUACGGGGGAAAGAAGGGGAUCGCAAGACCUUUUGCUAAUAGAUGAGCCUGCGUAGGAUUAGCUAGUUGGUGGGGUAAAAGCUCACCAAGGCGACGAUCCUUAACUGGUUUGAGAGAAUGAUCAGUCACACUGGAACUGAGACACGGUCCAGACUCCUACGGGAGGCAGCAGUGGGGAAUAUUGGACAAUGGGCGAAAGCCUGAUCCAGCAAUACCGCGUGUGUGAAGAGGGCCUUAGGGUUGUAAAGCACUUUCAAUUGGAAGGAAAACCUCGAAGCUAAUACCUUCGAGUUUGACAUUACCUUUAGAAGAAGCACCGGCUAACUCCGUGCCAGCAGCCGCGGUAA
rnacentral:rRNA from 1 species